rnacentral:rRNA from 1 species
GAUGAACGCUGGCGGCGUGCCUAAUACAUGCGAGUCGAGCGAACGGACGAGAAGCUUGCUUCUCUGAUGUUAGCGGCGGACGGGUGAGUAACACGUGGAUAACCUACCUAUAAGACUGGGAUAACUUCGGGAAACCGGAGCUAAUACCGGAUAAUAUUUUGAACCGCAUGGUUCAAAAGUGAAAGACGGUCUUGCUGUCACUUAUAGAUGGAUCCGCGCUGCAUUAGCUAGUUGGUAAGGUAACGGCUUACCAAGGCAACGAUGCAUAGCCGACCUGAGAGGGUGAUCGGCCACACUGGAACUGAGACACGGUCCAGACUCCUACGGGAGGCAGCAGUAGGGAAUCUUCCGCAAUGGGCGAAAGCCUGACGGAGCAACGCCGCGUGAGUGAUGAAGGUCUUCGGAUCGUAAAACUCUGUUAUUAGGGAAGAACAUAUGUGUAAGUAACUGUGCACAUCUUGACGGUACCUAAUCAGAAAGCCACGGCUAACUACGUGCCAGCAGCCGCGGUAAUACGUAGGUGGCAAGCGUUAUCCGGAAUAUUUGGGCGUAAAGCGCGCGUAGCGGUUUUUUAAGUCUGAUGUGAAAGCCCACGGCUCAACCGUGGAGGGUCAUUGGAAACUGGAAAACUUGAGUGCAGAAGAGGAAAGUGGAAUUCCAUGUGUAGCGGUGAAAUGCGCAGAGAUAUGGAGGAACACCAGUGGCGAAGGCGACUUUCUGGUCUGUAACUGACGCUGAUGUGCGAAAGCGUGGGGAUCAAACAGGAUUAGAUACCCUGGUAGUCCACGCCGUAAACGAUGAGUGCUAAGUGUUAGGGGGUUUCCGCCCCUUAGUGCUGCAGCUAACGCAUUAAGCACUCCGCCUGGGGAGUACGACCGCAAGGUUGAAACUCAAAGGAAUUGACGGGGACCCGCACAAGCGGUGGAGCAUGUGGUUUAAUUCGAAGCAACGCGAAGAACCUUACCAAAUCUUGACAUCCUUUGACAACUCUAGAGAUAGAGCCUUCCCCUUCGGGGGACAAAGUGACAGGUGGUGCAUGGUUGUCGUCAGCUCGUGUCGUGAGACGUUGGGUUAAGUCCCGCAACGAGCGCAACCCUUAAGCUUAGUUGCCAUCAUUAAGUUGGGCACUCUAAGUUGACUGCCGGUGACAAACCGGAGGAAGGUGGGGAUGACGUCAAAUCAUCAUGCCCCUUAUGAUUUGGGCUACACACGUGCUACAAUGGACAAUACAAAGGGCAGCGAAACCGCGAGGUCAAGCAAAUCCCAUAAAGUUGUUCUCAGUUCGGAUUGUAGUCUGCAACUCGACUACAUGAAGCUGGAAUCGCUAGUAAUCGUAGAUCAGCAUGCUACGGUGAAUACGUUCCCGGGUCU